rnacentral:rRNA from 1 species
AGUAGCAAUACUUAGUGGCAGACGGGUGAGUAACAUGUGGGUAUCUACCCUUUGGCCUGGAAUAACACGAGGAAACUUGUGCUAAUACCGGAUAAGUCUUUACGGAGAAAGCUUUAUGCACCAUUGGAUGAGCCCGCACUUGAUUAGUUUGUUGGUAGGGUAAUGGCCUACCAAGACUAUGAUCAAUAGCUGAUUUGAGAGGAUGAUCAGCCACAUUGGGACUGAGACACGGCCCAAACUCCUACGGGAGGCAGCAGUGGGGAAUCUUGCACAAUGGAGGAAACUCUGAUGCAGCGAUGCCGCGUGAGUGAAGAAGGCCUUUGGGUUGUAAAGCUCUUUCGUCGGGGAAGAAAAUGACUGUACCCGAAUAAGAAGGUCCGGCUAACUUCGUGCCAGCAGCCGCGGU